rnacentral:lncRNA from 1 species
UCGUCUCCCACACUGCACUGGGUCUCAGUCGUACGACCUGUACCGGGAGAGACUCGAGGUGAGUUUAAAGCAUGCACCCUCCCGCUUGGAGUUUUGGUGGCACGCCCACCAAAAGAAAGGUGAUGGUGGUUAUAUCUCACCUGAGGCAGAACGCAUUGUUGUAAGUUAUGUAAUUAUCUUAUUUAGUAUGUAUGUAAAAUUCAGAUAUUCUUUUGUAUUAUUUCAUUUUAUUCUUUGUGUAUCAUCUACUAAUGUGUUUUUUCUCAGCGACGAUUCGAGGAUCUUGCAGUGGCCCGGAGCAGCCAGAGAGGUG